rnacentral:rRNA from 1 species
CGAACGCUGGCGGCGUGGAUAAGACAUGCAAGUCGGACGCUUGAUUUUGUAGCAAUAUGAGGAUACGGGAGUGGCGAAAGGGUGCGUAACACGUGGGUAAUUUGUCUGAGAGUCAGGAUAAUUCGCUGAGAGGCGGAGUAAUACUGGAUGUGGAUAUUGGCUGGGAACGGCUGAUAUCUAAAGCCGGGGACCGCAAGGCCUGGUGCUCUUAGGUAAGCCCGCGACCUAUCAGCUAGUUGGUGAGGUAAGAGCCCACCAAGGCGGAGACGGGUAGCUGGUCUGAGAGGACGACCAGCCACACUGGAACUGAGACACGGUCCAGACACCUACGGGUGGCAGCAGUCGAGAAUUUUUCUCAAUGGGGGAAACCCUGAAGGAGCGACGCCGCGUGGGGGAUGAAGGGCUUCGGCUCCGUAAACCCCUGUCAUUUGUGAGCAAGUGUUAUUGUUUAAGAGAUGAUGACAUUGAUAGUAGCAAAAGAGGAAGGGACGGCUAACUCUGUGCCAGCAGCAGC